UACAGAGGGUGCAAGCCUUGUCCGGAUUUAUUGGGCGUAAAGCGUUUCGGCGGCGGAUUUGCACGUUAUUCUUCAAAGACCAGGGCUCAACCUUGGGAAGGGGAAUAAUACUACAAGUCUUGAAAGUUAUCGGGGUUUUCGGAACUUGCGGUGUAGGGGUGAAAUCCGUUGAUAUCGCAAGGAACACCAAGGGCGAAGGCAGAAAACUAGGUAAAUUUUGACGCUGAGGAACGACAGCUAGGGGAGCGAAAGGG
rnacentral:rRNA from 1 species